UUUGAAUCUAAUUAGAACUGAAGUGGGUUUUCAAUUUUGGGUUCUUUACUGGUUAAGAAGGAGUUACGUCGGUUACUUAGCAAUUUUUGAGGUUUUUUGGGAAAAGUACAGGAGUUCAUGUAAAAAUUGAAAAUUGGUCGAGGUGGACUUAAAACUGGGUUCCAGUAAGGAGGAAUAUUCUGGGGAUUUGCUGAACAUGGGAUUUAAGAACAGAUUAAUUUUAAAGAAAACAACUUUCGGCUUGCAUGUGUGAGAAUUUGCGUUAAAAAAAAAAUCUUUAGUACCAACCUUAUUUUGUUGGGGUGGGAAAACCAGUGAAAUAGGGGGGAAGAUUGGUUCGAGGGCAGGGGUAUUGCCUGUUGAGGUGCGUGCACUUAUGCCUUCGGUUGGUGGGAUGAGAAGAACUACUAGGAUUUUUGGGACAAGGGUUUUGAGGUCAGGGCGGAGGUUAUCAACUUCAUUUGAGGCUAAGCGGGCAAAGCAUGGGGAUGAGUGGG
rnacentral:misc_RNA from 1 species